GUUGGUGGGGUAAUGGCCUACCAAGGCGACGACGGGUAGCCGGCCUGAGAGGGUGACCGGCCACACUGGGACUGAGACACGGCCCAGACUCCUACGGGAGGCAGCAGUGGGGAAUAUUGCACAAUGGGCGCAAGCCUGAUGCAGCGACGCCGCGUGAGGGAUGAAGGCCUUCGGGUUGUAAACCUCUUUCAGUAGGGAAGAAGCCUGUCUUUUGGGUGGGUGACGGUACCUGCAGAAGA
rnacentral:rRNA from 1 species